UCUGGAGACAGGCGCCCCCUUGUGGUCGGUGUACAGGUGGUGCAUGGCGGUCGUCAGCUCGUGUCGUGAGAUGUUGGGUUAAUUCCCGCAACGAGCGCAACCCUUGUCCCGUGUUCCCAGCAGGCCCUUGUGGUGAUGGGGACUCACGGGAGACCGCCGGGGUCAACUCGGAGGAAGGUGGGGACGACGUCAAGUCAUCAUGCCCCUUAUGUCUUGGGCUGCACACGUGCUACAAUGGCCGGUACAAUGAGCUGCGAUACCGUGAGGUGGAGCGAAUCUCAAAAAGCCGGUCUCAGUUCGGAUUGGGGUCUGCAACUCGACCCCAUGAAGUCGGAGUCGCUAGUAAUCGCAGAUCAGCAUUGCUGCGGUGAAUACGUUCCCGGGCCUUGUACACACCGCCCGUCACGUCACGAAAGUCGGUAACACCCGAAGCCGGUGGCCCAACCCCUUGUGGGAGGGAG
rnacentral:rRNA from 1 species